AUUUAGUAGUAAAUUAAGAAUAG
rnacentral:piRNA from 1 species